UAGUUCGAUGAAGAGAAUGUCUGCAAUUCGUACUCUGUAUGGCGACUAGUUUUAUCUGAGAACUA
rnacentral:misc_RNA from 1 species